rnacentral:snoRNA from 1 species
CAGAAGGAUGAAUGGCACUGGGCUCUGACGGCCAAGCCGGUCAUGACAGACAUGCCCCAUUGUGGCAGGCCUAGAAAACCUCGCCCACUGAUC